UGACGGUAAAUCUGCCGAAACUUGCUCAAGACAAUACACAAGAAGCAAUCACAGGGAAAUUAUGUUGGAUUCUAGAGCAGCUUCUUUGCUCCAAAAACUUGCAGCUCUGCAUUUGCAAGGCAAAAUCGGGAAGUGGGAACUACUGUGCUGGAAAUCUAAAAUGAUCAUUGGACCACAAAAAGCAUAAGCCCCAACAUGAAGGUGCUUCUUCUACUAUAAUGGGAAACUGGUCGGAGAACGCAUCAGUCAAAAAGCCAUUAGUGCAAUUUUAAACAGCUUUACUGAACAACACUUUUGCCGAAGGUCCAGCUAGGACAAAUGGGACCCAAGUGAAUCUUCUAAAACAUGCAUGUAAGAAUCUUCUUCCAAGUGCCCAUUCGAGGAACGAAUCCGUGUUCCACCAUUUGCUUUAGUACAGAAUAAGCAUCAUCCAAACUGUCUUCACUACAUAGGCCCUCAAUAAUCAGUUUGUAUGAUGAAAAACUGGGUUUGCUUCCUUGAGAGAUCAUAAAUUCCAUAAAGUCCUUAGCCUUCACAAACUGUUUUUUGCCAAGAAACCCACAAAGAAGUGCUUCAUAAGUUCCUGAAUUAGGGUAACACCCCUUCAGCUUCAUUUCCUUUAGCAGAUUCAAUCCCUCAUCCACCCUUCCUUGCCUGCAAAGGCCACUAAUCAAUACAUUAAAUGUUACCGUAUCAAGAUCAAUACCUUCAUUUUCCAUUCUCUUAUAUACCGCAAAUGCUUCAUCUAAUCUACCAUUUUUACAAAGAGAAUGCAUAAGCGUCGAAUAAGUGGUAGCAUUAGGUUCCAAUCCCUGCUUUGGUAGUUCAUGUAAUAAGGCAAACGCCGCGUCUAGCCUAUUAUGUUGACAUAAGCCCUUUAUAAGAAUAUUAAAGCAACAGGUAUCAACAGUUAUGCCCAAUUUGGACGCACUCAUGUAUAUCUCAUGAACAAUCUCGUACUGUCGAGUACACACAAGCAUGUUUAAAACAUAAUUGAAAGUCUUAACCGAAGGCCAACAAUGAAAACUGGGCAUAUUGCGGAGUGUCUCAAUGCUUUUUCGUGAUGUUUCGCAACAUUUCCGUACAUUUUGAUGCAGUCUAUAAAAGAAUUCAUCAGAAAGUCGGCAAUUCUCAUUCUUGCCCUCUUCAACAGAUCCUCCACCUCGUUGAAUCUACGUGCAUAGGCAGUUUGUCGAUUAUUAAACUAUAGAGAGUUCACUGGGUUGUAGUCCAUACGAGUCGUGACCUUCUCGAACGCAACCUGUAAGUAAAUCAGGAUGUCUGAUAUUUGUAAAUAUUUUCAGUACUCAUUCGGCGCUAGCCAAUCCUUGUGAUCUAAUCUCCCAACCAGUAACUGUCAUCAACUGGACCAUACUUAAUUUUUGAUAAAGAGGAUAUGAAAUGCUUUGAAAUGCCAGAAUUUCUUAGAUCAACACUGUGAAAAUAAUACAUAGCUUGCGGAACCAAUUUAUUCAUAACUGCAAAAGAUCCUAUACAACCCUGCACCGGAAAAAUAUCAUCAAAUAUAAACAAUCGGUGUUUUAUAAUAACCUUUUAGAGGAGCUAAAUCAUGUUAUUCACGGAAGCCCGAGUAAUUAGUUAAGAAAAAAAAACAACUAAGAAAGGGGAGGUUUAAAAAAUACAAAAACACUAAUUACUUCACCUCUAGGAAAAAGGAAAAUGUUACUUUAUUCUAUGUUUUUUAUUCUAAAGCAAAUAAUUAUAGAGGAAAUCCAUCCAUCUUUCAUAUUUUUUAAUCGCAAUCCCUGUACAAAACCAUGAAGUCAAAUAACUCUCCCCUUCUCCCCAAUUUUUGUAUACCAAAUUAUAAAACAUUUUAACUUAGAAAAAAAAAAAAGAUAACAACUUUAUGAUCGGAGACAUGAUGAAGUGCGAAACUACAACCCUAAAAGAUGCGAUUUUUCCACUUGAUUUCGUUUCCUUCUUUCAAUUAAUAGCUAUGUUCUCUUCAUUGGAGUAAUCUAGGUUCCAAGUCGAUCAAUUUGGGAAUUUCGCCAAUUACGCCCACAAAAUGCGAUUUUUUGAAGCGAUUUUGCGAUUCUCCGACUCGAUUCAGAACAAGAGGGGAAAAGGGAUUACGCACAGCGGAAUCGCUCGGCCCACGAACUCGUGCGCGCGCCCUGUCGCUCCCGCCGCGUCCCGUGUUCUAUACUUCUAUAGAGAGCACGAAGAGCGCAGCUGCGCAGCAAAAAAUUCGGUGUACGGUGGACCCGUCGUUUUACGACCUAAUUGUGUGGAAAACCCCGAACUAUUGUAUUUUCUAAAGCAUGUCCCCGCUUUUUUGUGUUUUUGUUUUAAUUGAAUCGUGUUCCUAGUUAAUUAGAUUGGAGAUUCAGUUAGAUUGAUCAUUGAUUCUAUCAGAUUUAAUAAUAUUAGUUACUUUUAAAUGAAUGAUGAAACUGCAGCAAUUUAUUAUUGGUAAAAACUUGUAAAUUUAACUAACUAAAGCAAUGUUUCGAGCAGUAAGUGUAGGGGCAUUUUUAAAAGUUUUAGUUUUUAAAUAAACUUAGCAGUUUCGUUACGCAAACCCAGAACGCGUGGCCUACUGGAUAAGGCCCUGCCUCCGAAGCGGGAGAUUGUGGAUCGUGUCCCAUCGCGAUCGUUUUCGUGCUUAAGUACAUGAAUUUUGGUGCAUUAUUAUUUUUUUUAAAAAAAUGCCUAUACUUUGUCUAUAAAAGAAAAAAAAAAUCUUUAUUUUUUUACUCAUUAUCCCGUGAAUAAGAUAAAUCAUUCACACAUCUUACAAUGGAAUACAUUAUUCUGAUAAUGAUAAAUUCGCAUCACACUUAGUUAACAAAAAAAAACCCUUACGAGUAUAAUCACAAAUUUUAUUUUUUAUGAUGCAUAAUUUUCUACUGAAUAAUUUUCUGAUGAUAUUUAAGUAGUAAUUAAUAAAGCAAUAACAUGUAUCCUAGAAACGCUGGUGAACCCAAAACUUUUUGGCAUUUAAAAUCCUGCGAAUUACGGAAUAUGUUAAAAAUAUAAAACAACUGUCAUUUUUUAAAAACUUAAGAAGAUGAUCAGGUUUUUAUAUCCAACGGCUAGCUAGACGGCCUCGGGAGAGGACAGCGCCAUUGUGUAUCAGCGAGACGAAUAGGCGGAGAGAGCAUGGAGGGAUCAGGUUGAUGGAAGCCGUAGGACAGGAGCCGCCCGCGCUACCGGCUAUCGCUGGCGGAGGAUGUCGACCUUGCAAGCUUCACCGCCGUGGCGGAAAAGCCAUUGUGGCACUUUGGAUCAAUUUGGCGCGGGGGGGGGGGGGGGGGGGCGGCGGGGGGGAGGAAAGCAGAGAGAGAAGAGAAGAGAGAGAGAGAGAGAGAGAGUGUAGUUGUGAGAUUGUGGAGGUUUAUGUUACUGCAUUGCAAUGGAAACUAGUAACAUUAAAAAUUAUUAGAAUAAUAAUCUAACUUAUAUUUUAUUUUUAUUUUAGAUCUUGCAUUACAUAAUGGUAUAGGAUAAUUACAGUUCCAACAACAAAAAUACAAAGUAAAAAAAAAAAAAGGAGUGUGUGGUGGUCCAUGGUGAACUGGGUGCAUGCAUAUCGCUAUUGUUGGGGGAUUCCAAUAGGAGAGAUCGUUGUGUGCGCUCGGUGCAUUGGGUCCGUACGGUUAAGGAAUUUAUUCUCAUAAUAGGGAUGCAAACGAUCCGGUUGGUGGAGCUCCGCCCGGAUCCGCCCAGACGGGAUAAGUAAAUGGGAGAAAAUAAACGGAUUCGGGGCGGGAAACGGGGUAAAUUUUACGAUCCGAGACGGAUUCGGGCAGGAAACGAGAGAAAUUUUGACCCGCACCGAAUCCGCCCUGAAUCCACCCCGCCCCGAAUUUGCCCCGAAAAUUAUUUAUAUUUUUAAAAAAUAUUUCUAAAAAAUUAUGUGUUUACAAAAAAAUUUAAAAUACAAACAAGUUAGUACUCUCAUUUCUAAUGUAUUUGAAACUUUUGAAUUUUAUUUUGAAUUUUGAUUGAUAUUUUUUAUUUUUAUAAUUGAUAUUGUUAAAUUAUAUAUAUAAUAUUAUUAAAAAUUAUUAUUUUAUAUUUUACAAAAUAUUAAUAAUAUUAUAAUUAUAUAAAAAAAUAUUAGUUGGCCGGGCGGAUUCAGGGCGCCGGCGGGAGGCGAGUUACAAGGUGGGGCGGAUUAUGGGAUUUAUAUUUUAAUCUGUCACGGAUUCAGAGCAGGAGACGGGGCGGAAUUUUGCUAGUCGAGGCGGGAGGCGGGGCGGGGAUCCCGCCCUCAGAUCCGCCCCGUUUGCAUCCCUAAUCUCAUAUAAUCUAUGCACAUCUAUAAUCUACAAACCUAUAUGAAGCCACAAUACUUUUUGCCACGUGGCAUGUCAUCUUUCAUUCUCAUAACCGAACUUAAAUCAAACUACCUUUUCCUCUUCUCAACGCCCAACCCUUCACCUCCCCACUCCUCUAAUUACAUACAAUGUGCAAUAUUUAAUUACAUGCACCAUACUAAUAUUCUAUCAAUAAGUGUGCUUUAUAACUUUAAUCCACUCUUAUUCUCUAUUAAUCUCUCACCCUCUCUUUUUUGUAACUCUUUUGCAUACACCAUAAAAAACUUUUUGUCACGUGACAUGUUAACCUUCUUUCUCAUAGCACAACUUUAAAUCAAACCACCUUCUCCUCUUCUCAACGCCCAACCCUUCACCUCCCCACUCUUCUAAUUACAUAUAAGGUGCAAUAUUUAAUUAUAUGCACAGUAUUAAUAUUCUAUCAAUGAGUGAACUCUAGCUAUAAUUUUAUUUUUUUAACAAUUGAAUUUAGUCAUACAAAUUAACUAUGCUUAAUAUGGUAUAGCUUCCUAUAUAUUAAUAAAUUGUAAAUAUAAAUUUUAUUAAAAUUUUUAAAUUUUACUUCUAUUAUCUAUCCGCUGUAUCGCACGGGUCUCUACACUAGUACAUUAUUAUUUCUCAUAAGCUUUUACCACGUUGUAGCACCAUAAUCUUUCCUUCUUAAAAUUCCUUUUCUGUAACGUUUGCCUCUUCGGCUUCCCGUCUCAUUAAUUUCUUCUCCAUAACAUAUGCCUCUUUGGCUUCCCGUCAUAUUAAUUCCUUCUUUAUAACAUCCCAAUCCUCCUCCUUCUUGACCACUUAAAUUUUGUAAUGUAUAGUUAUGUAAAGGGUGUGUAUCCCUCUCCUCUAAUGGUCUCGAAGGACGAGAAGUAUCGGCUAAGAUAUGGGCUUGCCGAAAAAGGAUUGAAGGCAUUUUGGUAAUUCACGAAAUUGUCGGUGUUAGUAGAGAAUGCCCUAAAUGAGGAUACAAAGGGGUCCGAUUUUUCUGUAACAAAUUUUUUUCUCCUAUAAUUUUUUUCAUCUUUCGUUAUUUUUUAUUAAAUUAUAAUUUUAUUUUAAAAUUUUUUAAAUAUUUUUUAUAUUAUUAAAUUUAAUUAAGUAUGAUUAUAUCCGCCACAUCACGCGGAUUCCUACACUAGUAUUAUUUAUCCUAUUAUGAAUUGGGAACCACAGAAGCCUUCCCGUGUUUGGCGGAGGGGUUCAGUGGGACCCACUUUUUUUUUUUUUACUCUUUCUCACUCUCUCUCUCACACCCUGCAUCUUUUUUUUAUUUUUUUCUCUCAAUAUUUUUUUUUAUUUUUAUCUACAUCAAGUGUAAAAUUUUAUUGCAUAGAUCAAUCCCAUUUUUAAUAGUCAAUAUAACAAAAUUAAAAUUUCAUCAAAUAGAUAUAAUUUAUAAUUAAUAAAAAAUUUAUAUAUAAAAAUUAAUAGAUUUUACCUUUAUAAUAAAAUUUUAUAAAUACGGUGUAAAAAAGGUUAUAAACCGAGUGCAUAAGGCAUGCUCAUAUAUUGUGUAAGAUAAAUUUUAACUUUAACAAGAUAAAACUAUCUAAUAUAAGGUUUAGUUUGGUAUUGAGGUCUAUCUAAUGUUAUUAGAUAAAAUAGAGUUGGGAUAAAAGCAUAUAGGAAUAUACUUCUACGUCCUCCGGUGAGACCGCAAAAAAUAUAUAGUAACGGACUAAUCGCGAUAUACAGAACUGAAUAUUCUAUACGGAAACAAAUAGGGUAUUUUUCCAUCGUAUUUUCUUACCGCACAUAACGCAAUCUUCCCACAAUCCCAAACAAAGUCUAAGUACUUGAACUUUAGUUUUUUAGUUAAGAAUUUACUUAUAUCUUUUCUUUUUUGUUUUUGCCUAUUUUUUAAUAGUCGAUAUAACAAAAUUAAAAUUUCACCUAAUAAAUAUAAGGAAAUCUAUAAUCAAUAAAAAUAUAAAAAAUUAAUAGAUUUUUAUCUUUAUUAUAUAUAUAUAUAUAUAUAUAUAUAUAUGGUCCGGCUACUAUACUAUUAUGAGUACGAUUGCCCUCGUAUUCAUAAGUUGUUUUCGAUGAUAGAGCUUCCAAAUCGACGAUCCACACCGUUAAACGUUAUUUACAGCAUUUAAAACUUCUAGAAAUCAAAUUUAUAAUUUUUCGACAUCAUUUACCUUACGAUCAAGAGGUCACAAAUUGACAAUUUUUAACGACGGUAUGGAAUACUUUGAGUUUAACGGUAUAAAAGAAUCGGGAAUUUGUUGAAUUUUUGAUAGAAAAUUCUAUUCACUACAUAGAUAAAGAUCAAUAACUCCGAUCUUUGAAUUGAAGGAUCCGAUCAUCCUUUUUUUAGGACGUCGUUCGAUUUUGACCGUUCAUUUUAUGCCCACUUGAUGGACUUUAUUAUGAUUUCGAAAAUUUACGAAAUUUAUUUUCUAGAAGUUUCAAGUACUCUAAAUCAUAUUUAACGGAAUGGAUCGUCGAUUCCAGAGCCUCAUCAUGAAAACAACUUAUGAGUACGAGGGCUCCAAUACUCAUAAUAUAUAGUAGCCAUGCUCUCUCUCUCUCUCUCUCUCUCUCUCUCUCUCUCUCUCUAUAUAUAUAUAUAUAUAUAUAAAAUUUAUAUUUAUAUUAUUUAUUUAUUUUUUAUCUAUACAAACUUAUGAAAGGGCGACCCUAACGGAGCCCUCCCCGCGUUCAGUGGGGGUCCUGCGACUUUUCGCUCCUCUCCGCCUACCUGUACGGUGCUGCACGCCCCCUCCCUCCUUUCUUCCUCUUUGUCUUCGCCGGGGUGGUCCGCUCUGACUUUUUCGUUCUCUCCGCCAUCGCUGCGGUGGUCGCUGUCCUCCCUCAGGAACGUAGCCGCCUUUCCGUACGGCACGACGUCCCCCCCUUGUCAUUACACUAAUUGGGAACCAAAAGAAGGUCUCCCCUUAUUUUGGGGAGGUUGUAGGGCCCACAUAUUUUUUUAAAGAAUUAAUUGCACAUUGGUCCAGAUCUUUUCACUAUUUUUUUAUUUUGAUCUCUAUUUUUUUUUUUGCCCCAACCUUUUCACUAUUUUUUAUUUUGGUCCCUAAUCUUUUUUUAAUAGCACGGUUAAAAGAGGUGUUAAAAUUAACAAAAUUAUCAUGUAAGCACUUAGUUGGCUUUCUUUUUUUUUAUUUGUAAAUUCUACCUUGAUGAUAAUAGAAAAAUAUUAUUCAUCUUUUUUAAUACUGUGGUGAGUUUUUAUUUUAUUUUAAACUAAUUUAUUCAUUUUACUUAUUAGGUUUAAAUAUUUUUAGAAAGAAAUAUACUUUAAUUUUUAAUUAUUCGAUACUGAGAUAAAUAAUAUUGAAAAAUAUUAAUGCAUAAUAAGAAAAAAAAAAUGAUGUUAAUAAUUAUACUAAUUUAGUAUUGUAUUGUCGGCGGGGCUCAAAAAUUUAGUGCUUGAUUUAUAAGAAAUUGAUGAUCAUAAUUUUAUUUCAAAUUAAUAUUUAAUCUAAUAAAUAGUAGUGACUUAAUACUCAACUGACAAUUCAGAUCAUUCUAUGCGUGUUAGCGCCGAGUUUUCAUUAAUUAAGGCAUAAAUUAAGGAACAACAAACUUCAUCACACUAUAAAAAAGAAGUAAAGCAUACAACAGUCUUAAUUAUUGCAAUAUUUGUGCAAACACAUACACAUUGUUUGCUUAUUUAGAUCAAGCAUCAACUAGUAAGCAACACACAGUUCAUCUUUAAUAGAUGUUUAAUUUAGUUGUUCACCCAGAAUUGCGCUUGGAGCCAAUCCACAGUAUUCUUAUCCAGCUGAAACGCCUUGGCAAGAACCUCAUCCGAAAUCGGCGGCUUCGCCCCGAAAACUGCAUUGGCUAUAGUGAUCACACCGGGGUUCUGGCUGCUCAGACCGGAUAGCACAACCGCGCUGCUCGCUGCCGGAUUAAAUUGGAAGUGGAUAAGUCCUUGGGGGAAUACGAACACGUCUCCCGUGUUAAGCACCUUCGCGAAAAGCUUGUUGUCAGGGUUAGAGGUGACGAAUCCGACGCAGAGAGUGCCCUCAAGGACGGUGAGGAUCUCGGUGGCGCGCGGGUGGGUGUGGGGAGGGUUUAGACCAUUGGGGGCGAAGUCAAUGCGAGCUAUGGAGAUGCCGAGGGUGUUGAGGCCGGGGAGCUGCGCCACACUGACUAGAGUCACGUUGGAGCCAACCUUGUUCAUGGUGUUUCCAGGCUUGUCGAGACCAGGAAAGAAGAAAUCUUCAGGGGUGGCGAGGUUUGGGUCCUUGCACACGAACCCAUUUACGAAUACUGCACGAAAAUAGGAAAGCAGUUCAGCAAGGCAAAAUUUGGUUUGGGGAUAAAUGUAGAUGAAAUGAAAUUUUUUUAUUCUCUUGUUACUGUAGGGAUCAUCAUAAAAAACUACAAAUAUUCCCCACAUCUGAUGCAUCCAUACAUACAUAGAUACCAUACUUUUAUUCAUAGUCAAUCCCAUGGGAGGUUGAAAUUGUUUUCUUUUUUUUCUUUUAAGAGAAAGGUAGCAAGCUACCUGCUGUAUUCAAUUUUAUUUAAAAAAAUGAACUUAGCUAAAAAUGUGAAGCUAAAAAUGAACUUAGCUUGAAUAGAACUACUACAUAUUUUUACUGAAGCUUGCAGUGUUUGGUAGAAUAAAAAAGAAUAGCUUCAAAUUAUGUGCAUGCUAUCCUCGAAAUAAAAGUUAACCAAAGUAAACAUAGAAUGUUUAGCAAUGCCUUGAAGAAAUAAGUAAAAAGAGAAAAAAGAAUAGUGCGUACUUGGGGAGUUCUUAUCCGCAACGCAGAAGUCUUGGAGGGGGCUAGGAUCAGACGCAAUGGCUCGCGAAGAAACGAGGGCAAGGAGAGUAAGGGCAAGAAUGUAGGGAGCCAUCUCUCUAUCUCUAACCCUCUAUCUCUAUUCCGUAGGAUGCGUGGUGCGAUAACUGAGAUAGAAGAGAUGGCUAUAUAUAGAGGAUGAAGCAUUGGAACAGUCAUUCUUGCAGGAAAAGAAACGAGGACUAGUUAAACAUGUUACUAGAACAAGCUAAAAAGCUAGCAUUAUCCUCAUGCUGUCUUGGGUGUUUUGUCCAAGUCAUAUUAUUAAAGGUUUAUACAGUCAUAGUGAAAUGGUAAGAAAGAAACACGUUUUAGUCUGACUCAGACAGAGGAAACACUAAUAAGAAAAUAAAACUGAAGGCCCAAUCUCAGUUGUUUACCAUUCUGAAACAGAAAGAGAAAAAAUAAUAAUAGCACGAGCAGCAUUACAAAUUUUUGAAUAAUAAUGUAAUGAAAUGAGGGACGAACGACUGAGAUUGAGCUUCGAGUUUUCCAUCUUAAUUUUGUUAGCCUGUAGAUUUGUGCACCGGGUAAUAAGGAAGAAGAUUCAAAGUUUGGACUAGUGAUUUCUUGAGUUGUUAAAAUAUUAUGAAAUCGGAGCAGUUAAGAUUGUUGAAAUUAUAUACUAGAGGUCAUUUUUUUUAUCAUGACUUGAUAACCGAUAUGAGGACUUGACUGGGUAAUAUUGUUUAGUGGAGUCUAGAGAUCCUAGUAAGGAAAAGAUGAGAGAGAGAUUUCCAGGGAAAAAAAAGGAGUUAAAUUAAUACCUUUGGUGGUGCUUAGAGAAAUCUGACGAUCUGCUUUGAUGCAUAAACACCAAUGUUUUUCGAACUAGCCGUCGAACCGGAAACCGGUGCCGAGAAUUCAAAUUAAAACCUGCAUCAAACGAUUCGAAUAUAAUCAUUAGCCUGCCAACAAAAAAUAGAGCCAUUUUAUUAAUAUUAAUAUUAGAAAAGAACUUUGAAUUUUUGUUUUGAUCUGAACAUUAUUGAUUCUUUUUAUUAAUAUUAGAAAAGAACUUUGAAUUUUUGUUUCGGUCUGAACAUUAUUGAUUCUUUACUCUCUUACAAUUGUAGAACCAAAUAGAGCAAUCUUAUUCACCAUUGUAUUUAAUUAAUAUUUUAAACUUUUGGAUGCCACGCUAUCGCGAAUGGUUCAACCAGUGAUCAAACCACUAAACUUUUUUUUUUUGAGAGAUAGGUAGCAUGCUACCUGUUUCGUUCAUUUCAUUUAGAAAUAAACUUAGCUGGAAAUGUGAAUCAACUAUGAUUCAAACUUGGAACCUCGGGUACCUACCACCAAGCCCCUUGUCACUUGCGCUAGGACGGUCGGUAUCAAACCACUAAUCAUUGAGUAGGAAAUAUUUUUGGGUUUAUUACCACUCCCCGUUUCUUAAAACAUCCAAAAACAUCCAGUUUAGCAUAUCUCUUCUGUCUCGCCAAGGGGCAUGAUUUAACAUCCAUGAUUAUGACGAUGAUCUUACGACGGACUAAAAUAAAAAUCCUUGAAGAAGAAGAAGAAAAAAGAUUCUCAUACCACACAAGUUCAGAACUUACAGAAUCAAUAUGAUUAAAAAGUUUGUGCAUCUAGAGGAGAUGAAAAUAUCAUAGAGAUAUUGAAAGGAGAAUUACCAAAAACACCCUCAAAAUUCACCCCAAAUUGCUUUUCAGUUCAUAUACUAAGCCUGCAAAUAGCUAGGGAGUGGUUACUAUUAGGCAAAUAAAUCAAAAUUUCCAUUCCUAACCAGUGUAAAGGAAAGGAUAUUCUAAAGCACAUACUAGGUACAUCAAACAAGAGAUUUCCAACACGAUAGUUUAAUAUAUAUGGAUGUUGUCUAAAUCUCUUUGACUUAUUCAGAUUUAGUUUUUGAAUUCUUAUUUAUGUAGACUAGUCCUCAUCUUAUCUAGAAUAGGGUGUACAAGUAGCAUUUUUCAAGUAUGAUGAUCUCAUUGCUGUCUUCAUUUUUCCCUGUUAGCUUUAAUUGGUAUGUGUUGUUAUGGUUCGUUAUGUUUCAUUAUGUCAAAGCUCAUGUGCUGAUAAAGGUGACAGAUUUCGAAUCAAAAUGAACUCAAGAAUUGAGAAAAAUCAGGUGAGAAGGGAUACAGAUCUGUCAAGUAAUCAAAGAUCUUUAUAAUUAAGUUCAAAUUUACUAGUAAUCCAUAAAUUAAUUCCUAAAAGGAAAAGAAGAGGAGUACGGAGUACUCCAUUAAACAUGAUGAUAAUACUUAAACCUCUAAUAAAUAACCAAAAGAAGAAUGGGAAGCGAAACUGAUAUAAAGGUUAAUAGAGCUGAUAUCAUUUCCAUAUUACGGCAAAGUAAAGAAUACCAUUUGACACUCAGAUAACACAAUCCGGAACGGUACUGCAUAACUUGUAAUUGCUAGUCAAAAAAUUACAACAAGAAUGUACAGAUAUAGUAAAUCAUGAAAUACUCAAGAUACCACAAUUCUUUCUUGAGACAUCUGUUGAUGCAGAAUCGGGUGCGGAUAGGAUUGAUUUGUUUAGGUUUUAAAUUUUUUCUAAUUUUCGGAAUUAUUUUACUUGUUAAUUUGUUUUAGUUGUUUUUGUAAAGAUUUUUAGGAUUUAUCAUAGAGAAUAAAUCCCUAAAAAUUAGAAAUAUGGUUUAGAUUUUUUAGAUAUACUCGAAUUAGGAAAAUAUUCCUAAAAUCUUGGGAUUUGAAUUAGAUUAGGAUUACGGUUGGAUGGUUAUAAAUAUAGUCUAUAAUUUGUAAUUUGGGACGAGUUAUGAUGGAAUAAAAUUUAGGUUUGUGUUUUUACUGCGGUCAUAGUAUCUUUUUCCCCUUCUCUUCUCCGCAUGUGCGCCGGUAAAAUUCUUUUUCCUCAGAGGUUCUAUCUUCUUUUUUUCUCUUCUUCGUCUUUUCUCAUUUCCUCUAUUUUUCUCUUAUCCUUCUUGUAAAUUUGCUUUCUCUAUUAUUAGCUACUUUUAAAAAAAUUACAAAAUAAAAAAAAAAUCAUCAGAACCUUCUUGCUAGAGUCAUACUACUUUUUUGUUUUUUUUCCUUUUUUUUUAAUUACAAAAUUUAAUUUAAAAUUCAUUAAAAUCUUUUAAAAAAUCUGAAAUUUAAUCUAAAUUUUUUAGAAAAUUCUAAAUUUGGUUUUAAAUUGAUUUUGGGCUCAUCACUUGCAAGAUAGAAUAGGGUUUUCUGAAUUUGUCCUGCAUCAUCUGUAUUUUCUCAUAAUAUGAGCAACACUUUUCCAGUCGGAUGUAGAUGACAUGAAUUGCCGACGUGCAUUAACGUCACGUUCAUCCGACUUAAACACCGUAUAUAAGCAUGCGAAAGACACCACUAGGGAAAUCCAAAUGCUAUUACCUGUAUCCAAACUGAAAUGCCAGUAAAGAAGGGUUCAGUGCUACAGAAUGAAAGUUCUAGAGAUGUUCAUGGAGUUAGAUGAAUAAAGUUUCGAAGUUCUUUAAGUUUACAAUUGAAUAACAAACCUGUGAAGAUUUUCCAUGGAACGUUGCCAAGUGUUCCAUUAUCUGACAGUAACUGACGGUAAAUCUGCCGAAACUGACUCAAGACAAUACACAAGAAGCAAUCACAGGGAAAUUAUGUUGGAUUCUAGAGCAGCUUCUUUGCUCCAAAAGCUUGCAGCUCUGCAUUUGCAAGGCAAAAUCGGGAAGUAGAACUACUGUGCUGGAAAUCUAAAAUGAUCAUUGGACCACAAAAAGCAUAAGCCCCAACAUGAAGGUGCUUCUUCUACUAUAAUGGGAAACUGGUCGGAGAACGCAUCAGUGAAAAGGCCAUUAGUGCAAUUUUAAACAGCUUUACUGAACAACACUUUUGCCGAAGGUCCAGCUAGGACAAAUGGGACCCAAGUGAAUCUUCUAAAACAUGCAUGUAAGAAUCUUCUUCCAAGUGCCCAUUCGAGGAACGAAUCCGUGUUCCACCAUUUGCUUUAGUACAGAAUAAGCAUCAUCCAAACUGUCUUCACUACAUAGGCCCUCAAUAAUCAGUUUGUAUGAUGAAAAACUGGGUUUGCUUCCUUGAGAGAUCAUAAAUUCCAUAAAGUCCUUAGCCUUCACAAACUGUUUUUUGCCAAGAAACCCACAAAGAAGUGCUUCAUAAGUUCCUGAAUUAGGGUAACACCCCUUCAGCUUCAUUUCCUUUAGCAGAUUCAAUCCCUCAUCCACCCUUCCUUGCCUGCAAAGGCCACUAAUCAAUACAUUAAAUGUUACCGUAUCAAGAUCAAUACCUUCAUUUUCCAUUCUCUUAUAUACCUCAAAUGCUUCAUCUAAUCUACCAUUUUUACAAAGAGAAUGCAUAAGCGUCGAAUAAGUGGUAGCAUUAGGUUCCAAUCCCUGCUUUGGUAGUUCAUGUAAUAAGGCAAACGCCGCGUCUAGCCUAUUAAGUUGACAUAAGCCCUUUAUAAGAAUAUUAAAGCAACAGGUAUCAACAGUUAUGCCCAAUUUGGACGCACUCAUGUAUAUCUCAUGAACAAUCUCGUACUGUCGAGUACACACAAGCAUGUUUAAAACAUAAUUGAAAGUCUUAACCGAAGGCCAACAAUGAAAACUGGGCAUAUUGCGGAGUGUCUCGAUGGCUUUUUCUGGAUGGUUCGCAACAUUUCCGUACAUUUUGAUCAGUCUAUAAAAGAAUUCAUCAGAAAGUCGGCAAUUCUCAUUCUUAGCCCUCUUCAACAGAUCCUCCACCUCGUUGAAUCUACGUGCAUAGGCUAGUUUGUCGAUUAUUAAACUAUAGAGAGCUUCACUGGGUUUGUAGUCCAUACGAGUCGUGACCUUCUCGAAUGCGCCUGUAAGUAAAUCAGGAUGUCUGAUAUUUGUAAAUAUUUUCAGGACCUCAUUCGGCGCUAGCCAAUCCUUGUGAUCUAAUCUCCUCAACCAGUAACUGUCAUCAACUGGACCAUACUUAAUUUUCGAUAAAGAGGGUAUAAAAUGCUUUGAAAUGCCCAAAUUUCUUCGAUCAACACUGUGAAAAUAAUACAUAGCUCGUGGAACCAAUUUAUUCAUAACUGCAAUAGAUCCUAUCAACCCUGAAUCAGAAAAAUAUCAUCAAAUAUAAACAAUGCAGUGUUUUCUAAUAACCUUUUAGAGGAGCUAAAUCAUGGUAUUCACGGAAGCCCGAGUAAAAUUAGUUAAGAAAAAAAAAAAAAACNCUCCACCUCGUUGAAUCUACGUGCAUAGGCUAGUUUGUCGAUUAUUAAACUAUAGAGAGCUUCACUGGGUUUGUAGUCCAUACGAGUCGUGACCUUCUCGAACGCGCCUGUAAGUAAAUCAGGAUGUCUGAUAUUUGUAAAUAUUUUCAGUACCUCAUUCGGCGCUAGCCAAUCCUUGUGAUCUAAUCUCCUCAACCAGUAACUGUCAUCAACUGGACCAUACUUAAUUUUUGAUAAAGAGGAUAUGAAAUGCUUUGAAAUGCCAGAAUUUCUUAGAUCAACACUGUGAAAAUAAUACAUAGCUUGCGGAACCAAUUUAUUCAUAACUGCAAAAGAUCCUAUCAACCCUGCACCGGAAAAAUAUCAUCAAAUAUAAACAAUCGGUGUUUUAUAAUAACCUUUUAGAGGAGCUAAAUCAUGUUAUUCACGGAAGCCCGAGUAAAUUAGUUAAGAAAAAAAAAACAACUAAGAAAAGGGGAGGUUUAAAAAAUACAAAAACACUAAUUACUUCACCUCUAGGAAAAAGGAAAAUGUUACUUUAUUCUAUGUUUUUUAUUCUAAAGCAUAAUAAUUAUAGAGGAAAUCCAUCCAUCUUUCAUAUUUUUUUAAUCGCAAUCCCUGUACAAAACCAUGAAGUCAAAUAACUCUCCCCAUUCUCCCAAUUUUUGUAUACCAAAUUAAAAACAUUUUAACUUAGAAAAAAAAAAAAGAUAACAACUUUAUGAUCGGAGACAUGAUGAAGUGCGAAACUACAACCCUAAAAAGAUGCGAUUUUUCCACUUGAUUUCGUUUCCUUCUUUCAAUUAAUAGCUAUGUUCUUCUUCAUUGGAGUAAUCUAGGGUUCCAAGUCGAUCAAUUUGGGAAUUUCGCCAAUUACGCUCACAAAUAUGCGAUUUUUUGAAGCGAUUUUGCGAUUCUCCGACUCGAUUCAGAACAGAGAGGGGAAAAGGGAUUACGCACAGCGGAAUCGCUCGGCCCACGAACUCGUGCGCCGCGCCCUGUCGCCUCCGCCGCGUCCCGUGUUCUAUACUUCUAUAGAGAGCACGAAGAGCGCAGCUGCGCAGCAAAAAAUUCGGUGUACGGUGGACCCGGUCUUUUACGACCUAAUUGUGUGGAGAACCCCGAACUAUUGUAUUUUCUAAAGCAUGUCCCCGCUUUUUUUGUUUUUGUUUUAAUUGAAUCGUGUUCCUAGUUAAUUAGAUUGGAGAUUCAGUUAGAUUGAUCAGUUGAUUCUAUCAGAUUUAAUAAUAUUAGUUACUUUUUAAAUGAAUGAAUGAAACUGCAGCAAUUUAUUAUUGGUAAAAACUUGUAAAUUUAACUAACUAAAGCAAUGUUUCGAGCAGUAAAGUGUAGGGGCAUUUUUAAAAGUUUUAGUUUUUAAAAUAAACUUAGCAGUUUCGUUACGCAAACCCAGAACGCGUGGCCUACUGGAUAAGGCCCUGGCCUCCGAAGCGGGAGAUUGUGGGAUCGUGUCCCAUCGCGAUCGUUUUCGUGCUUAAGUACAUGAAUUUUGGUGCAUUAUUAUUUUUUUUAAAAAAAAUGCCUAUACUUUGUCUAUAAAAGAAAAAAAAAAUCUUUAUUUUUUUACUCAUUAUCCCGUGAAUAAGAUAAAUCAUUCACACAUCUUACAAUGGAAUACAUUAUUCUGAUAAAUGAUAAAUUCGCAUCACACUUGUUAACAAAAAAAAAACCCUUAUCGAGUAUAAUCACAAAUUUUAUUUUUUAUGAUGCAUAAUUUUCUACUGAAUAAUUUGUUCUGAUGUAUUUAAGUAGUAAUUAAUAAAGCAAUAACAUGUAUCCUACGAAAGGCCGCUGUGUAAACACAACAAACAUUUUUGGCAUUUUCAAAUCGUGCACGAAUAUGUUAAAGAAUAUUAACAACAACUGUCAUUUUUUAAACAACUUAAGCAGAUAUCAGUUUUUAUAUCCAACGGCUAGCUAGACGGCCUCGGGAGAGGACAGCGCCAUUGUGUAUCAGCGGAGAUGGAAAUAGGCGGAGAGAGCAUGAGAGGGAUAGGUUGAUGGAAGCCGUAGGACAGGAGCCGCCCGCUACGCGGCUAUCGCUGGGGGAUGUCGACCUUGCAAGCUCACGCCGUGGCGGAAAAGCCAUUUGUGGGCACCUUUGGAUCAAUUUGGGGGGGGGGGGGGGGUGAGGGGGGGGGGGGGGGGAAGAAGCUUAGAGAGAGGAGACAGAGAAGAGAUGUUGAGAUGUGGAUGUGGUAUCAACUUUUGGGGGGGGGGGGGGGGGGGAAGGAACUUAGAGGAGGAGAGUAGAGAGAGAGAGUUUGUUGAGAUGUGCUGAGGUGUGGGUUUUAUGUUACGAUGCCAUGCAUGGAAACGUAGUAAACAUUAAAAUUACUUAGAAUAAUAAUCUAAACCUUAUAUUUUAUUUUAUUUUAGAUCUUGUUUACAUAAUCGGUAUCUAGGAUUAAUUACCUGUUCCCGCCAACAACAAAAUACAAAGUAAAAAAAAAAAAGGUGGUGUUGGUGGUCCAUGUGAAAUGGUGCAUGCUAAUGCCUAUUUUGGGGAUUCCAAUAGGAGAGAUGCGUGAAUGUGUGCGUCGGUGGCAUUUGGGUUCCAGUACGGUAAGGAAAUUUAAUUCUCAAUUAUAGGAUGACCAACGGAUACGGUUGAGUGGGAGCAUCGCCGCCGAUCCGCCCAGACUGGAAAAGUAAAUAUAGGAAAAAAUAAAUGGAUUUCGAGCAGGAAACGAUACAAUUUUACGAUCGAGACGGAUUCGGGCAGGACAGACAGAGAAAUUUUGACCCGCGACCGAAUCCGCCCUGAAUCCACCCCGCCCGAAUUUGCCCACGAAAAUUAUUAUAUUUAAAACAAAUAUUUCUAAAAAAAUUAUGUGUUUACAAAAAAAUUUAAAAUACACACAAGUUAGUACUCUCAUUUCUAAUGUAUUUGAAACUUUUGAAUUUUAUUUUGAAUUUUUGAUUGCUUUUUUUUUUAUUUUUAUAAUUGAUAUUGUUAAAUUAUUAUAUAAUAUUAUUAAAAAUUAUUAUUUUAUAUUUUACAAAAUAUUAAUAAUAUUAUAAAUUAUAUAAAAAAAUAUUAGUUGGCUGGCGGAUUCGAGGGCGCCUGGCGGGAGGCGAGUUACAAGGUGGGGCGGAUUAUGGGAUUUAUAUUUUAAUCGUGUCACGGAAUCGGGGAGGAGACGGGAAGAAUUUUGCUAGUCGAGGCGGGAGCGGGGCGAGGAUCCCGCCCUCAGAUCCGCCCCGUUUGGCAUCCCUAAUCUCAUAUAAUCUUUGCACAUCUAUAAUCUACAAACUAUAUGAAGCCAAUUUUUUUGCCACGUGGCAUAUCAUCUUUCAUUCUUCAUAACCGACUUUAAAUCAAACUACCUUUUCUCUUCUCAACGCCCAACCCUUCACCUCCCCACUCCUCUAAUUACAUUACAAUGUUGCAAUAUUUAAUUACAUGCACAUACUAAUAUUCUAUCAAUAAGUUGCUUUAUAACUUUAAUCCACUCUUAUUCUCUAUUAAUCUUCACCCCCUCUUUUUUGUAACUCUUUUGCAUCCACCAUAAAAAACUUUUUGUCAGCGUACAUGUUAACCUUCAUUCUCAUAGCCACAACUUUAAAUCAAACCACCUUCUCCUCUUCUCAACGCCAACCCUUCACCUCCCCACUCUUCUAAUUACAUGUAAGGUGCAAUAUUUAAUUAUUAUGCACAAUAUUAAUAUUUCUAUCAAUGAGUGAACUCUAGCUAUAAUUUUAUUUUUUAACAAUUGAUUUAGUCAUCACAAUUAACUAUGCUUAAUAUGGUAUAGCUCUUCUAUUAUUAAUUAAAUUGUAAAUAUAAAUUUAUUAAAAUUUUUAAAUUUUACUUCUAUUAUCUAUCCGCUGUAUCGCACGGGUCUCUACACUAGUACAUUAUUAUUUCUCAUAAGCUUUACCACGUGUAGCACCAUAAUCUCUCUCUUCUUAAAAUUCUUUUCUGUAACGUUUGCCUCUUCGGCUUCCCGUUCCAUUAAUUUCUUCCAUAACAUAUGCCUCUUUGCUUCCGUUCAUAUUAAUUCCUUCUUUAUAACAUCCCAACCCUCCUCCUUCUGACCACUUAAAUUUUGUAAUGUAUAGUUAUGUAAAGGGUGUGUAUCCUUCCUCUAAUGGUCUCGAAGGACGAGAAGUAUCGGCUAAGAUAUGGGCUUGCCGAAAAGGAUUGAGGCAUUUUGGUAAUUCACGAAAUUGUCGGUGUUAGUAGAGAAUGCCCUUAAAUGAGGAUACAAAGGGUGUCGAUUUUUCUGUAACAAAUUUUUUUCUCCUAUAAUUUUUUCAUCUUUCGUUAUUUUUUAUUAAUUAUAAUUUUAUUUUUAAUUUUUAAAUAUUUUUUAUAUUAUUAAAUUUAUUAAGUAUGAUUAUACGCCCAUCACGCUGAUUCCUACAUAGUAUUAUUUAUACUAUUAUGAAUGGGAGAACCCAGAACUUGCCGUUGUUUGUGCGGAGGGGUUCAGUGGGACCACUUUUUUUUUUUUUUUUUUUUGCCCUUUCCUCACUCUGCUCUCUCUCACUUUUUUUUCCUACUCUUUCUCACUCUCUCUCUCUCACACCCUGCAUCUUUUUUUAUUUUUUCUCUCAAUAUUUUUUUUAUUUUAUCUACAUCAAGUGUAAAAUUUUAUUGCAUAGAUCCAUCCCAUUUUUAAUGUCAAUAUAACAAAAUUAAAAUUUCAUCAAUUAGAUAAUAUUUAUAAUUAAUAAAAAAUUUAUAUAUAAAAAUAAUAGAUUUUACCUUAUAUAAUAAAAUUUUAUAAAUACGGUGUAAAAAAAGUUAUAAACGAGUGCAUUAAGGCAUGCUCAUAUAUUGUGUAAGAUAAAUUUUAACUUUAACCAGAUAAAACUAUCUAAUAUCAGGUUUAGUUUGGUAUUGAGGUCUAAUCUAAUUUAUUAGAUAAAAUAGAGUUUGGAUAAAAGCAUAUAGGAAUAUACUUCUACGUCCUCGGCUGGACUGCAAAAAAUAUUAUAGUAACGGACUAUCGCGAUAUGCAGAACUGAAUAUUCUAUACGGAAACAAAAGUAUUUUUCCAUCGUAUUUUCUUACCGCACAUAACGCAUUUCCCACAAUCCAAACAAAGUCUAAGUACUUGAACUUUAGUUUUUUAGUUAAAAAUUUUACUUAUAUCUUUUUUUUUGUUUUUGCUAUUUUUAAUAGUCGAUUAUAACAAAUUAAAAAUUUCACCUAAUAAAUAUAAGGAAAUCUAUAAAUCAAUAAAAUAUAAAAAUUAUAUGAUUUUUAUCUUUAUUAUAUAUAUAUAUAUAAUAUAAUAUAUAUAUGGUCCGCUACUUAUACUAUGAUGAGUACGAUUGCCCUCGUAUUCAUAAGUUGUUUUCGAUGAUAGAGCUUCCAAAUCGGCGAUCCACACCGUUAAACGUUAUUUACAGCAUCUUAAAACUUCUAGAAAUCAAAUUUAUAAUUUUUCGACAUCAUUUACCUUACGAUCAGAGGUCACAAAUUGACAAUUUUUACGACCGGUAUGGAAUACUUGAGUUUAACGGUAUAAAAGAAUCGGAAUUUGUUGAAUUUUUGAUAGAAAUUCUAUUCACUACAUAGAUAAAGAUCAAUAACUCCGAUCUUUGAAUUGAAGGAUCCCGAUCAUCCUUUUUUUAGGACGUCGUUCGAUUUUGACCGUUCAUUUUAUGCCCACUUGAUGGACUUUGUUAUGGAUUUCGAAAAUUUACGAAAUUUAUUUUCUAGAAGUUUCAAGUACUCUAAUCAUAUUUAACGGAAUGGAUCGUCGAUUCCAGAAGCUCAUCAUGAAAACAACUUAUGAGUACGAGCCUCCAAUACUAUAAUAUAUAGUAGCCAUGGCCUCUCUCUCUCUCUCUCUCUCAUCUCUCUCUCUCUCUCUAUAUAUAUAUAUAAUUUAUAUUUUAUUAUUUAUUUAUUUUUAUCUAUACAACUUAUGAAAGGCGACCCUAACGGAGCCUCCCCGCAUUCGGUGGGGGUCCUACGGACUUUUCGCUCCUUCCGCCUACCCGUUACGUGGCUGCGCCCCCCCCUCCCCCCCCCCCCCCGUGAUCUCCUUUCUUCUCUUUGUCUUUGCCGGGGUGGUCCGCUCUGAUUUUUCGUUCUCUCCGCCAUCGCUGCGGUGGUCGCUGUCCUCCUCAGGAACGUAGCGCCUUUCCGUACGGCACGACGUCCCCCCUUGUCAUUACACUAAUUGGGAACCAAAGAAGGUUCUCCCUUAUUUGUGGGAGGUUGUAGGGCCCACAUAUUUUUUUAAAGGAUUAAUUGCACAUUGGUCCAGAUCUUUUCACUAUUUUUUAUUUUGAUCUCUAUUUUUUUUUUUGCCCCAACUUUUCACUAUUUUUUUUUUGAUCCCUAAUCUUUUUUAAUAGCACUGUUAAAAGAGGUGUUUAAAUUAACAAAAUUGUCAUGUAAGCACUUAGUUGCUUUCUUUUUUUAUUUGUAAAUUCUACCUCGAUGAUAAUAGAAAAAUAUUAUCAUCUCUUUUUAAUACUGUGAUGAGUUUUUAUUUUAUUUUAAAUAAUUUAUUCAUUUUACUUAUUAGGUUUAAUAUUUUUAGAAAGAAAUAUCUUUAAUUUUUAAUUAUUCGAUACUGAGAUAAAUGAUAUUGAAAAAUAUAAUGCAUAAUAAGAAAAAAAAUGUUGUUAUAAUUAUACUAAUUUACUAUUGCAUUGUCUUCCACCGCAUCGCGCGGGGCUCAAAAAUUUAGUGCUUGAUUUAUAAGAAAUUGAUGAUCAUAAUUCUAUUUCAAAUUAAUAUUUAAUCUAAUAAAUAGUUAGUGACUUAAUACUCAACUGACAAUUCAGAUCAUUCCAUGCCUGUUAGCGCGAGUUUUCAUUAUUAAGGCAUAAAUUAAGGAACAACAAACUUCAUCACACUAUAAAAAAAGAAGUAAAGCAUACAACAGUCUUAAUUAUUGCAAUAUUUGUGCAAACAAUACACAUUGUUUGCUUAUUUGAUCAAGCAUCAACUAGUAAGCAAACACACAGUUCAUCUUUAAUAGAUGUUUAAUUUAGUUGUUACCCCGAAUUGCGCUUUGGAGCCAAUCCACAGUAUUCUUAUCCAGCUGAAACGCCUUGGCAAGAACCUAUCCGAAAUCAGGCGGUUCGCCCGAAAAACUGCAUUGGCUUAUAGUGAUCACACCGGGGUUUGGCUGCUGCUCAGACCGGGAUCACAACGCGCUGCUCGCUGCCGGAUUAAAUUGGAAGUGGAUAAGUCCUUGGGGGAAUUACGAACACGUCUCCCGUGUUAAGCACCUUCGCGAAAAGCUUGUUGUCAGGUUAGAGGUGACGAAUCCGACGCAAGAGAGUGCCCUCAAGGACGGUGUAGGAUCUCGGUGUGGCGCGUUCUCGGUGUGGGUGUGGGGAGGGUUUAGACCAUUGUGGGGCGAAGUCAAUGCGAGCUAUUGGAGAUGCGAGGGUGUUGGGCGGGGAGCUCGCCACACUGACUAGAGUCCACGUUGGAGCCAACCUUGUUCAUGGUUUUUCCAGGCUUGUCGAGACCAGGAAAGAGAAAUCUCAGGUGGCGAGGUUUGGGUCCUUGCACACGAACCCAUUUACGAAUAACUGCACGAAAUAGGAAAGCAGUUCAGCAAUGGGAAAUUUGGUUUGGGGAUAAAUGUAGAUGAAAUGAAAUUUUUUUUAUUCUCUUGUUACUGUAGGGAUCAUUCAUAAAAAAACUAAAAAUAUUUCCCCACAUCUGAUGCAUCCAUACAUACAUAGAUACCAUACUUUUAUUCAUAGUCCAAUCCCAUGGGAGGUUGGAAAUUGUUUUUUUUUUUUCUUUUAAGAGAAAGGUAGCAAGCUACUGCGUGUAUUCAAUUUUAUUUAAAAAAAUGAACUGUAGCAAAAAUGUGAAGCUAAAAAUAGACUUAGCUUGAUAGAACUAAUACAUAUUUUACUGAAGCUUGCAGUGUUGGGUAGAAUAAAAAGAAUAGCUUCAAAUUAUGGUGCUGCUAUCCUCGAAAUAAAAGUUAACAAAGUAACAUAGAAUUGUUUAGCAAUUGCCUUGAAGAAAUAAGUAAAAGAGAGAAAAAUGAUCGUGCGUACUUGGGGAGUUCUUAUCCGCAACGCAGAAGUCUUGGAGGGGGCUAGGAUCAGACGCAAUGGCUCGCGAAGAAACGGAGGGCAAGGAGAGUAAGGGCAAGAAUGUAGGGAGCCAUCUCUCUAUCUCUAACCCUAUAUCUCUAUUCCGUAGGAUGCGUGGUGCGUAUAACUGAGAUAGAAGGACGAUGGCUAUAUAUAGGGAUGAAGCAUUGGAACAGUCAUUCUUGCAGGAAAAGAGAACGAGGACUAGUUAAACAUGUUACUAGAACAAGCUAAAAAGCUAGCAUUAUCUCAUGCUGUCUUGGGUGUUUUAGUUCAAGUCAUAUUAUUAAAGGUUUAUACAGUAUAGUGAAAUGGUAAGAAAGAAACACGUUUUAGUCGUGACUCAGACAGAGGAACACUAAUAAGAAAAUAAAACUGAAGGCCCAAUCUCAGUUGUUUACCAUUCUGAACAGAAAGAGAAAAAAUAAUAAUAGCACGAAGCAGCAUUACAAAUUUUUGAAUAAUAAUGUAAUGAAAUGGAGGACGAACGAUGAAGUUGAACUUCGAGUUUUCCAUCUUAAUUUUGUUAGCCUGUAGAUUUUGUGUGCACGUGGUAAUAAGGAAGAAGAUUCAAAGUUUGGACUAGGUGUUUUGAGUUGUUAAAAUUUAUGAAGUCGGAGCAGUUAAGAUUGUUGAAAUUAUACCUGGAGGUCAAUUUUUUGAUAUGACUUGAUAACCGAUAUGAGGACUUGACUGGGUAAUAUUGUUUAGUGGAGUCUAGAGAUCCUAGUAAGAAAAGAUGAGAGAGAGAUUUCCAGGGAAAAAAAAGGAGCUUAAAUUAAUACUUCGGUGGUGCUUAGAGAAAUCUGACGAUCUGCUUUGAUGCAUAAACACCAAUGUUUUCGAACUAGCCGUCGAACCGGAAACCGGUGCGAGAAUUCAAAAUUAAAACCUGCAUCAAACGAUUCGAAUAUAAUCAUUAGCCUGCCAACAAAAAUAGAGCCAUUUUGAUUAAUAUUAUAUUAGAAAAAGAAUUUCAAUUUUGUUUUGAUCUGUAACAUUAUUGAUUCUUUUUAUUAAUAUUAGAAAAGAACUUUGAAUUUUUUGUUUCGGUUCUGAACAUUAUUGUUCUUUACUCUCUUACAAUUGUAGAACCAAAUAGAGCAAUUCUUAUUCACCAUUGUAUUUAAUUAAUAUUUUAAAAUUUUGGAUGCCACGCUAUCGCCGAAUGGUUCAACAGUGAUCAAACCACUAACCUUUUUUUUUUUUGAGAGAGAUAGGUAGCAUCUACCUGUUUCAUUCAUUUAUUUAGAAAUAACUUAGCUAGAAAUGUGAAUCAACUAGGAUUCAAACUUGGAACCUCGGGUACCUACCACAAGCCUCUUGCCACUUCGCUAGGACGGUCGGUAUCAAACACUAUCAUUGAGUAGGAAAUAUUUUUGGGUUUAUUACACUCCCCGUUUCUUAAAACAUCGAAAAAAUCCAGUUUAGCAUAUCUCUUCUGUCUCGCAAGGGGCCAUGAUUUAACAUCCAUGAUUAUGACGAUGAUCUUACGACGGAUAAAAUAAAAAUCCUUGAAGAAGAAGAAGAAAAGAUUCUUCAUACCACACAAGUUCAGAACUUACAGAAUCAAUAUGAUUAAAAAGUUUUGUGGCAUUUAGAGGAGAUGAAAAUAUCAUAGAGAUAUUGAAAGGAGAGAUUACAAAAACACCCUCAAAAUUCACCCAAAUUGCUUUUCAGUUCAUAUAUUAAGCCUGCAAAUAGCUAGGAGUGGUUACUAUUAGGCAAAUAAAUUCAAAAUUUCCAUUCCUAACCAGUGUAAAGGAAAGGAUAUUCUAAAGCACAUAUACGGUACAUCAAAACAAGAGAUUUCCAACACGCGAUAGUUUAUUUAUGGAUGUUGUCUAAUCUCUUUGACUAUUCAGAUUUAGUUUUUUGAAUUCUUAUUUAUGUAGACUUAGUCCUCAUCUUAUCUAGAAUAGGGUGUACAAGUAGCAUUUUUCAAGUAUGAUGAUCUCAUUGCUGUUUCAUUUUCCCUGUUAGCUUUAAUGGUAUGUGUUGUUAUGUUUCGUUAUGUUUCAUUAUGUCAAGCUUCAUGUGCUGAUAAAGGUGACAGAUUGUCGAAUCAAAAUGAACUCAAGAGAUUGAGAAAAAUCAGAGUGAGAAGGAUACAGAUCUGUCAAGUAAUUCAAAGAAUCUUUAUAAUUAAGUUCAAAUUACUAGUAAUCAUAAUUAAUUCUAAAAGGAAAAGAAAGAGGAGUACGGAGUACUCAUUAAACAUGAUAUAAUACUUAAACUCUAAAAAUAACCAAAAGAAGAAUGGGAAGCCGAAACUGAUAUAAAGGUUAAUAGAGCUGAUAUCAUUUCCAUUACGCGCAAAGUAAAGAAUACCAUUUGACACUCAGAUAACAAAUCCGGAACGGUACUGCAUAACUUGUAAUUUGCUAUCAAAAAUUACAACAAGAAUGUACAGAUAUAGUAAAUCAUGAAAAUAUCAAGAUACCACAUUCUUUCUUGAGACAUCUGUUGAUGCAGAUCGGGUGCGGAUAGGAUUGAUUUGUUUAGGUUUUAAUUUUUCUAAUUUCGGAAUUAUUUUACUUGUUAAUUUGUUUUAGUUGUUUUUUGUAAGAUUUUAGGAUUUAUCAUAAGAGAAUAAAUCCUAAAAUUGGAAAUAUGCCGUUUAGAUUUUUUUAGAUAUACUCGAAUUAGGAAAUAUUCCUAAAAUCUUGGGAUUUGAAUUAGAUUAGGAUUACGGUUGGAUGGUUAUAAUAUAGUACUUAUAAUUUGUAAUUUGGGACGAGUUAUGAUGGAUAUAAAAUUUGGGUUUGUGUUUUUACUGCGGUCAUAGUAUCUUUUUCCCUUCUCUUUCCGCAUGGUGCGCCUGGUAAAAUUUUUUUCCUCAGAGGUUCUAUCUUCUUUUUUUCUCUUCUUCAUCUUUUCUCAUUUCCUCUAUUUUUUCUUAUCCUUCUUGUAAAUUUGCUUUCUCUAUAUAUUAGCUACUUUUAAAAAAAUUACAAAAUAAAAAAAAUCAUCAGAACCUUCUUGCUAGAGUCGUACUACUUUUUUGAUUUUUUCUUUUUUUUUAAUUACAAAUUUAAUUUAAAAUUCAUUAAAAUCUUUUAAAAAAAUCUGAAAAUUUAUCUAAAUUUUUUUAGAAAAUUCUAAUUUUGCGUUUUAAUUGAUUUUGGGCUCAUCACUUGCAAGAUAAGUUAGGGGUUUUCUGAAUUUGUCCUGCAUCAUCUGUAUUUUCUCAUAAUAUGAGCAACACUUUUCCAGUCGGAUGUAGAUGACAUGAAUUAGCGACGUGCUUAACGUCACGUUCAUCCGACUUAAACACCGUUUAUAUAAGCAUAGCGAAGACACCACUAGGGAAAUCAAAUGCUAUUACCUGUAUCCAAACUGAAAUGCCAGUAAGAAGGGUUCAGUGCUACAGAAUGAAAGUUCUAGAGAUCUUCAUGCGAGUAAGAUGAAUAAAGUUUCGAGUUCUUUAAGUUACAAUUGAAUAACAAACCUGUGAAGAUUUUUCUGGAAGUUGCCAAGUGUUCCAUUUAUCUGACAGUAACUGACGGUAAAUCUGUCGAACUGACUCAAGACAAUACACAAGAAGCAAUCACAGGAAAUUAUGUGGAGUCUAGAGCAGUUCUUUGCUCCAAAAACUUUGCAGCUCUGCAUUUGCACAGGCAAAUUGGAAGUGGGAACUACUGCUGCUGUGAAAUCUAAAAUGAUCAUUUGGACCACAAAAAGAUAAGCCCCAACAUGAAGGUGCUUCUUCUACUAUAAUGGGAAACUGGUCGGAGAAGAGCAUCAGUGAAAAGGCAUUAGUGCUUUUUUAAACAGCUUAGUGAACAACACUUUGCGAAGGUCCUGCUAGGACAAAUGGGACCACAAGUGAAUCUUCUAAAACAUGCAUGUAAGAAUCUUCUUCCAGUGCCCAUUCGAGGAAUGAAUCCGUGUUCCACCAUUUGCUUUAGUACAGAAUAAGCAUCAUCCAAACUGUUUUCACUACA
rnacentral:lncRNA from 1 species